CUAGUCUAUCGGUGGAUCACUCGGCUCGU
rnacentral:rRNA from 1 species